CGUCCUAAGUAGAUGGCCCCUUAAUAUUUUAUUUGAUGCAGAAUAGCUGACAGCAGCUACAAUUGUACAUUUGACUCAGUCUUUCUGUGCUUUCAUAUCUUAAGUCUGAUAUUUACUUUGCUCCUAAACCUUCUUUUAGUUCUGACAAAGCAAGAUUUGCCAUGAUACAGCGACUUUUUAUGUCGUCAUCGCUGCAUAAUUUAGACUUUAGAGCCAAGGUACUAAGGCAGAUAGCUGAUAUUCAGGGCUCUUUCCCCCUAGACGAUUUUGGAGCCCGCUGUUUGACAAUAUUUACACUGACAAAAAUUGGUCGACUCUUUUAUCUUAUUCUCUCACAUUAAACAACAUUAACCAGGUUUUUUUUUUCUAGAAAUGACUAUAAUGUGACUAUUGCAUUGGAUAGAGUUUUCCAAUGGCAUUGUUUUCUACCUAUCUGACCUAUGUUGAGUUUCGCCAAGACUUGACGGGACCAUCACAUCUUUUGACCACCCCAAAGUCUCACUCGUUGCGCCAACACAGCAGAGAGUUCGUGAGGAGGGGCCUAUAUCCCUGAUCAGCGGCUUAUCCUUUCGUCCACCACAACACUAACUCACACAGUAACUGAUGACAAUCCUUUCCAACUAAUGCUCACUGAAUUUAUCCUCAGCGCUUCUGUUCACACAGCAUGGCACCAGGGACGGAUCCAGUGAUCCACUAACUUUUCCUAUCAGAGAUCUAGACGGACCUGAAAAUAGCACCUCCUGUAGUUCCCGCCUAAACAGUAUCGAAAGAUUGAUCUAGAAGCUUUGACAGAGUUUUAGCUCUUUAUGUCUGCCACAUUGACUUUCUGAUGAAUAAAGGAAAAAAUCGUAGGUGAUAAGGUGACGUUUGCAGAGCGGCGUCUAUUAAAUAUCAUACCUUUAUGUUUGAAGCUGAGACCGGCGAUAUUCCCAAGUAAUACGGCAGAUGAAGACACAAGUUUUAGUAAGGGAGGGCUCCUGCAGAGAUCAAUUCACGGACGCUUAUGUUGCC